rnacentral:tRNA from 1 species
CUUUUAUGAUAGCAAGGGCUUAACCCCCUGUGACCGAGGUUACAGCUCGGCGCCUGACUCAGCCAUACUACC